GAUGAACGCUAGCUACAGGCUUAACACAUGCAAGUCGAGGGGUAACGAGAGGAAAGCUUGCUUUCCUUGUCGACGACCGGCGCACGGGUGAGUAACGCGUAUCCAACCUGCCCCCAACUAGGGAAUAACCUUGCGAAAGUAAGACUAAUACCCUAUAAUUUCCUCAGAUGACAUCUGACGAGGAAUAAAGAUUUAUCGGUUGUGGAUGGGGAUGCGUCUGAUUAGCUUGUUGGCGGGGUGACGGCCCACCAAGGCAACGAUCAGUAGGGGUUCUGAGAGGAAGGUCCCCAACAAUGGAACUGAGACACGGUCCAAACUCCUACGGGAGGCAGCAGUGAGGAAUAUUGGUCAAUGGGCGGAAGCCUGAACCAGCCAAGUAGCGUGCAGGAUGACGGCCCUAUGGGUUGUAAACCGCUUUUAUACAGGAAUAAAGUUAGCCACGUGUGGUUAUUUGUAGGUACUGUAUGAAUAAGGACCGGCUAAUUCCGUGCCAGCCGCCGCCGUAA
rnacentral:rRNA from 1 species